GCAAUCCUUGACAACUGCCCCUUCCUGGAAUCCCUCGACAUUCGCCAUUGCUUCAAUGUCAGUAUGGAUGACACCCUGCAAGCAAAGUGUGCCAGGAUCAAGACACUGAGGCUUCCCUAUGACUCAACUGAUGACUAUGACUUCCAAGUUCAUAAGCCUAUCUGGUCGGGUGCUGACUUCUUCUCUGAUAGUGAUGAUGAUUGCAUUUAUGGUGGCCCCGACUAUAUUCUUGACUCAGAUGAGUAUGACGAUUACUGUGACCCUUACAUCUACCUUGAUGGCGUAUAUGAGGACGAGCUUGAUGAAGAAGAUCGGAUGAUGCUCAAGGCUAUGCACAUGUUCCUGAAAUGAGAAUGCCAUGAGUAUGCUGGUACUUUUGCGUGGUUCACUCAUUCAAUCGAUUCUGCUACUCUUCUAUGGUACUUGACUGAAUAUUGCUUAAAAACUUGGUCGGUCUAUUUUGCUACUCUAAGUGUAUCGUUCAGUAAUCCCUGCCAAAUUAUUCACAACAGUGUUGGUGGUGUUUUAACUUAGGCAGUCUCCUUAAAGUCAGUAUGCGACAGUUUGUACCUGUGUGCCUACAACCGGUACACGAUAAUGCAUAAUGCCUAUUGCUAUCUGCUCAUUGCCUUUUUUGCUCUGCUUGCACAGUUUUAUUUCAAAUUUAAAGUCACUACUCGAGAAGGUAGUAAUGAUUAAGUGGUUCAAAUGAAUAGGUCCAUCUAUUGCCCAAUGAGGCCAUGAAUUGGGCCAUUUUCUGCCCUUCUAUUAGUUCAGAGCUUGUAAGAAAUACUCAUAUUUCCUCUUGAGGUAUAGGAAAAUUGUUAAGGCAUGUUUGGUUUGCUAUUGCGAACCUUUGACAAUGUAAAAAUCCAAACAUGCCUAACAGCACAUAACAAUUGAUUUGCAGCAUAUAGAUAUCCUUCUAUUCCAAAAUUUGAUAGCUCUAGAAACCUCCACUGAACAAUGCAUAACGUUCAGCAGAGCAAAGCCGCCAAAGCAGCAUACAUGAGAACCUCCACUUGACUGUAUCUGAUCUCAGGCCUCUCUUCUUGACAAGCUGUGCUAGUGGUCUUAGGAGGCCUAAUGAUUUCAUAUGAUAUCUUGAAGGUUUCGAUACUUGACUGACCAUCGAACUGCCUGGCGCGCUUCUAAUAACAUCCAGCAUCUCUUUCUCCAUCCUAUAACUUCUCCAUCAGCUCUGUUGUCAACAAGUUUCAGAUUCUGGAGAUGUGUGAGAUUCUCCAAGCCUUUUUUUGACGGAAGAAGGUAGAGCGUGCUCCACCUUAUAAUCAUUUCAUUAAUAGAAAUGAGGUUUCCAAGUUACAAGUUACUAGAGGUUAUAGUUAACCUAGAACAGAAGGAAAAAAGAAGAAAAGGAAGAAGAGAAGAGACAAAAAUAAAAAGAAAAGAGAAAGGGUGGUGGAUUUACAAAGAUAUAAACAAGGGUUCUUGUGGUGAUAGUUAACUGAUUCUCCAAGCCUUGUGGUGAAUCAGUUAGCUGGGUGCACCGGCCAGGCACCAGUUCAUGUAGCCCUACAAGGCAUCCUAUCUAAAACUCCAUCUGACUAAGCCUAUCUACUAGUAUCGCCGGGGAUUCCAACGAGAUAGUGGUAGGAUGUAUGGAAGCUUGGCUCCGGUGGAUCUCAAUGGAUUGAAGGCUAGAUCUUGGCUAGGCUUCAUGGGUGUCAUGGCUUGAAUCGAUUGUUGUUCUGUUGGGUUCUUUCUCCAGCCCUCUUUUGGGGCUAGGCCUUUAUACCCUUAGGCCCUCUCGUAUCAUAGGACUCAGUGAUAUACUAGGUAGUCUUCGACUCAAUUUUGAUCGAGUCUGAGUAGAUCUCCCGUAGUUUUCCUUAAAUAGGUCUUGCGUAGUUUUCUAUAAAAAUAUUUGUGUUAAGUCUUACAGGUAUGUCAUAUUUUCAACACCGACAAUAGUCACUUUAAGAAAAAGAAUAACGGUUAAUUUACGGAAUGGGUAUGAAGGGGCUCAAAAUGGAACAUGGCAAUAUAGAAGAUUAGAUAAAACUUAGGACUAUGAAAGAAGGUGACAUCAUGUGAAUGUUUGUGACAGCAUUGGGCGCGACCUGUGAGGUUGGGAAGAGAGGAGAGAAGAGGGGAAGAGGAGGAUGAAGGAAGGAGGGAAAUUUGGUCCAAAUCUUUUUGCAAAUUUAUCCAAGGGGUAAGUAGUGUCAUAUUCCAACACCGACCAAAUUGUAACAAUGGUUUACAAAUACAUGAAUUAUAAUCGCAUAUUUUGAAAUAGGCAAAUUUGUAAUGGCAUACAUCCAAAUAUCCAAGUAACCCUCUGAAACAAACACCUAGCGCCAACAAGCAGGCACACUAAUGUGUGGGGACGUUGGGGGAAUCAACGACAUCAAGCUGCUCAGGCCUGACUCGGUCCUCCAGUUGGCAAGCAGAGGGGGCAAGGAGAGCACCGGCGCUAUGGUGGAGACAAAGAGAGGUGGCUAGUGGCAGCGAAGUAGAUGGCAGUGGCGGGGCGGGCGUAUGGUGCAAUGGCGACUUGAUGGAAUCUAGCGAGGGCAUGAUGUCCUAGAAGUAGAUCGAGGCCGUGCAAUCCAAUGAUGAAGGUGCUCGGUUUGGCUCAGAACAUGAUGGUGACAGGCAAACAACAGUACACAAGAACAAAACCGCGUUCCCGGUGAACCGCUGCAUGAAUCAUCAACAUUGUGGAGGGUAAAGAGCAUGAACCAACGGAGCACGUUGUGACAUGGUAGGUUUUGCGAGAAACUCACCGUAGAGAGGGAUCGACGAGGAUGGAACUCGGGAUGGCAUGAAUGGUGGCCGCAAUAGAUUUUAGCGUUCCCGAACGUGGGAGGAUGAGAAAUAUGGCGAGAGGAGGUACCGACGGUGUCCUCGAGGAUGAGGUCCUCUUAGUCCACCCACUCCCUCUCCGGCCCCUUCCGCCGGCACCUCAUCCAAAAGCACAGUCAAACG
rnacentral:lncRNA from 1 species